UGGGGAAUUUUGGACAAUGGGCGAAAGCCUGAUCCAGCAAUGCCGCGUGUGUGAAGAAGGCCUUCGGGUUGUAAAGCACUUUUGUCCGGAAAGAAAUCCUUGGCUCUAAUACAGUCGGGGGAUGACGGUACCGGAAGAAUAAGCACCGGCUAACUACGUGCCAGCAGCCGCGGUAAUACGUAGGGUGCAAGCGUUAAUCGGAAUUACUGGGCGUAAAGCGUGCGCAGGCGGUUUGCUAAGACCGAUGUGAAAUCCCCGGGCUCAACCUGGGAACUGCAUUGGUGACUGGCAGGCUAGAGUAUGGCAGAGGGGGGUAGAAUUCCACGUGUAGCAGUGAAAUGCGUAGAGAUGUGGAGGAAUACCGAUGGCGAAGGCAGCCCCCUGGGCCAAUACUGACGCUCAUGCACGAAAGCGUGGGGAGCAAACAGGAUUAGAUACCCUGGUAGUCCACGCCCUAAACGAUGUCAACUAGUUGUUGGGGAUUCAUUUCCUUAGUAACGUAGCUAACGCGUGAAGUUGACCGCCUGGGGAGUACGUCGCAAGAUUAAAACUUAAAUGAAUUGNCGGGGUCNUAGCUG
rnacentral:rRNA from 1 species